rnacentral:rRNA from 1 species
GAUGAACGCUAGCUACAGGCUUAACACAUGCAAGUCGAGGGGAAACGAUAUUGGAAGCUUGCUUCCGAUAGGCGUCGACCGGCGCACGGGUGAGUAACGCGUAUCCAACCUGCCCACCACUUGGGGAUAACCUUGCGAAAGUAAGACUAAUACCCAAUGAUAUCUCUAGAAGACAUCUGAAAGAGAUUAAAGAUUUAUCGGUGAUGGAUGGGGAUGCGUCUGAUUAGCUUGUUGGCGGGGUAACGGCCCUCCAAGGCGACGAUCCGGAGGGGUUCUGAGAGGAAGGUCACCCACAUUGGAACUGAGACACGGUCCAAACUCCUACGGGAGGCAGCAAUGAGGAAUAUUGGUCAAUGGGCGAGAGCCUGAACCAGCCAAGUAGCGUGCAGGAUGACGGCCCUAUGGGUUGUAAACUGCUUUUAUAAGGGAAUAAAGUGAGAGUCGUGACUCUUUUUGCAUGUACCUUAUGAAUAAGGACCGGCUAAUUCCGUGCCAGCCGCCGCAGUAAUAC